CUAAACGCUCAAUCCAGCGAGCUUCAUUCUA
rnacentral:tRNA from 1 species